AUAACUGUACCAUCCCGGACCCGCUCAAUCUCUGUUGACCUUGGAAGAUAAGCAGUAUGGAGCUUGGUCAAUACCUGGAUGGGAGAAGCCUUGGAGCAAAUAAUU
rnacentral:rRNA from 1 species